UAUGUGGGAAUAAUCUGAAAAUUAAUUGAAUUUAUUUGUGUGUGCAAGUGAUUAUUUUACCCUUGAAAUACUUAUGUGGGUGUUUUAUGGCUUUAAGGGCAAAUGAGUAAUUUUGCCAUUUUGGAGUAAGGUUCAUAAAAGGGAUUUUUAGCAAAAUAAAGAUUUAAUUUUCUGCAUUUUUCACAGCCCUAUAGCUGAACCCCCUUUCUUCUCUAAACUCCUCCUAACUCUUGAUUUUGGGUUGUGCUUGCUUGGAUUCAAGCUUGGUGUUGGUGGCUUUUGUGUUUGAGAGUGAAAUGAGUUAUUUUUGCAUUUUAAAAAAGAAAAUUUUUGGGCUUUUUCCUCUGCCCUAGCUGAACCCCCUCUCCCUCUUUUCUUCAUAUUUUUAUUUUACUAGUGUUGGAAAAUUCAUCUUGAAAGCUUGGAUUCUUGGUGGGUUUUGUGCUUCGCUUUGUUUGGAGCUUGAGGAUUACCGGCACUUGGUCAGGAGCACCGGGGGAUUUAGAAUCUCCAUAUUUGCGGGACAUCAGGAAAGGGUAAAUCGGUUUUUAAUCAGCCAUGAGUGUAAGAGCUGGACAAUGAAUGUACAUGUUCGGCCACACUAGACCAAGCGGGUUGGGCUCUACCAGUUUUGAAACUUUUGUAACUCUGUUUUGCCGUUUAGGUCGGGUAAGGGAAAAGACUUGUAAUAUUUUGUAAAACAAUUCUUGGGAUCCCGAAACAUGUAACUUUUGUUUGUAAGGUUAAAAUUAUUACAAGUUUAUUUUCAUUCCGUUUUCGUUUAAAGUUUAAUUUCCACGCUUAUUUUAUUAGUAAUCUCGUUUAGGGGAUUAGGGUUUCUUAAUCAUCUUGGGUAGCUUUCCUAAAUGUUAGGGCAUUACAGCCAUGCCCACACAAAGCAAGUCAAGUACUCAAUCAUAGUGAGUAAGAUGGUGGUAACCAAACCCGAAGGAGAGAAAGAGAUCCAGGCUCAGAUCUUGAUAAUACUCUGCGACAAAAAGAAGCAAGGGUUAGAGAUUUGAGCGGAAUGAGUCAUUAUAUUCCACUGUAACCAAUGCGGGAGAACAUGUUUUUCCUGUGAGUUUCUCCAGUAAAGGGAUAAGGCACUUUGGAAAGAGAGGCAAGUUAAGCCCUAGGUUCAUUGGGCCAUUUCAGAUACUCGAGAAGGUCGGGCAAGCAGCGUAUCAGCUAGCCUUAUCACCAACGUUAUCGGCUGUUUAUAAUGUAUUUCAUAUUUUGAUGUUGAGGAAAUAUGUUUCAAACCCGACUCAUGUCUUGAGUUACGAAGCCCUUGAACUGUAGUCAGACUUAUCCUAUGAGGAACAACUAAUUCAGAUCCUCGACAGGAAAGGAAAGAGUUUUUCGAAACAAGACCAUAGCUUUGGUCAAAGUGCUCUGGAAGAACAGUAAGAUGGAGGAAGCCACCUGGGAAUUAGAGUCUGGAAUGAGGACUCAAUAUCCAGAGCUAUUCAGGUUAGAUUUCGGGGACGAAAUCCUUUUAACGAGGGGAUAAUUGUAAUGACCGCAUUUUAGAAUAUGGAUUAGUAAAUGUAAUUAGCAUUAAUUAUUAAUAUUUUUAUAAUUAUACAUAAUUUUAUUAUGA